AACGCACCUUGCGCCCCUUGGUAUUCCGAGGGGCAUGCCUGUUUGAGUGUCAUUAAAUUCUCAACCUUGAAAGGCUUUUGAAGUCCUUCGAGGCUUGGAUGUGGAGGCUGCGGGCCCUUGUUGGUCGGCUCCUCUUAAAUGCAUUAGCUGGGUUUGCGCCUUCAGCCUACUGGUGUGAUAAUUAUCUACGCCUCUGGGACGUUAGCGUGUUUACUUCUCCAGCUUCUAAUCGUCCGCAAGGACAAUACUUUUGACCACUUUGACCUCAAAUCAGGUAGGACUACCCGCUGAACUUAA
rnacentral:misc_RNA from 1 species